AAGCAGGUGCUAAAACCACUCGAAGCUGGCCAUAAAAUUAAAUAACGAAAUCCUCGCACGUACCAUCCACCGUCCAAUGAAAAUUCCCAUCGAGAUACACCUCUCGAGUUUUCUCGAACCAAACUUUCCUUUCCUCUAUUACCAUUACAAACACUUCCUCGACCGCUCGAGGAAGCUACUUGAGAUACGUCUGGCAAUCGACGUACUUGCCAUCGAAUACCAUCGAGCGACAUCGUUCGAAGAGGAGGAAAAAAGAAGAAAAAAGAAAAAAAACAAAAAAAAGAAGAAAAAAGAAAAUAAGAGAAGAAAAAAGAAGAAGAAAAAGAGGAGGAAGGAUAGAGACGAGGUAUUUCUCAGGGAGGAGGAAGCAACCAGAAAGAGACGUGAUGUCUGCGCGAAUCGGAUGAUCGAUGGUCGAUCGUCCAAGCCAUCGAUCACCAGCGACCUCGCGUCAUCGCGCAUCGAUGGCUGCGGUCUCGCUUCCGGUAUCUGGACGGUGAACGGAGACAUUCUCGAGACACACCGAGUUGGUUUCCACGAUGGAGGAACGCGGGGCGCGAAUACUUUAAUGAUGCUGUUGAAACAGAAAUUGAUACGCCAGAAGGAAGGUGGUGCAACACGGCUACAGCCGACCCACUUAAACAGCUUCUAUAUCGGCGAAGAAACAAGGCGGAAUGCUACCAAUGCUACGGGGACUUUCACUCGGAAGGCUCGUGAGCCAAGUUGGGACCAAGGCGAUCGAUUGUUUUCGAAAGGUCGCCGUCCGGUCCACCAUUAGCGGUUUCCCAUUAGUGCUUAACCUCCUCCCUUUGGGAAUUGUUUAAAGGUCACGCCGAGAUUAUUCGUCAUUUUU